AGCUGACCCCAAAAUUGCCUGGGCAGAGCCAGAGCGGUUAUUCGGCGCCGGCGGCUCCUCCCUCCUACGGCUCCGGCGGUUUCGGCUCCGGGCAGAGCUCGCAGGGCAGCUACGGCCAGACCUCCUCCUACCCCGGCUACUCCCAGCCCCCCGCAGCUGCCUCGGCCUCUGGGAGUUACGGCAGCGGCUCCGGCAGCUCCAGCUACGGGCAGGCCCCGAGCGGGGGCUACAACCAACAGCAGAGCGGGGGCUACAACCAGCAGAGCUAUGGACAACAGUCCUCCUACAACCCCCCUCCGAGCUACAGCCAGCAGGGCCAGUACAGCUCCGGCGGAUGUGAGUGACAUUCCCAAAAAAAAU